rnacentral:rRNA from 1 species
GCUAAGGUCCCAAAGUCAUGGUUAAGUGGGAAACGAUGUGGGAAGGCCCAGACAGCCAGGAUGUUGGCUUAGAAGCAGCCAUCAUUUAAAGAAAGCGUAAUAGCUCACUGGUCGAGUCGGCCUGCGCGGAAGAUGUAACGGGGCUAAACCAUGCACCGAAGCUGCGGCAGCGACGCUUAUGCGUUGUUGGGUAGGGGAGCGUUCUGUAAGCCUGCGAAGGUGUGCUGUGAGGCAUGCUGGAGGUAUCAGAAGUGCGAAUGCUGACAUAAGUAACGAUAAAGCGGGUGAAAAGCCCGCUCGCCGGAAGACCAAGGGUUCCUGUCCAACGUUAAUCGGGGCAGGGUGAGUCGACCCCUAAGGCGAGGCCGAAAGGCGUAGUCGAUGGGAAACAGGUUAAUAUUCCUGUACUUGGUGUUACUGCGAAGGGGGGACGGAGAAGGCUAUGUUGGCCGGGCGACGGUUGUCCCGGUUUAAGCGUGUA